rnacentral:rRNA from 1 species
GACGAACCGUGCGAACGUUGUUCGGAAUCACUGGGCUUAAAGGGCGCGUAGGCGGGUGACCAAGUCCGGGGUGAAAUCUUCCGGCCCAACCGGAAAAGUGCCUUGGAUACUGGUCGCCUGGAGGGAGGUAGGGGCACGCGGAACUCCAGGUGGAGCGGUGAAAUGCGUAGAUAUCUGGAGGAACGCCGGUGGCGAAAGCGGCGUGCUGGACCUCUUCUGACGCUGAGGCGCGAAAGCCAGGGGAGCAAAGCG